rnacentral:rRNA from 1 species
CAGCCGCCGCGGUAACACGUAGGUGGCAAGCGUUGUCCGGAAUUAUUGGGCGUAAAGGGCUCGCAGGCGGUUUCUUAAGUCUGAUGUGAAAGCCCCCGGCUCAACCGGGGAGGGUCAUUGGAAACUGGGAAACUUGAGUGCAGAAGAGGAGAGUGGAAUUCCACGUGUAGCGGUGAAAUGCGUAGAGAUGUGGAGGAACAUCAGUGGCGAAGGCGACUCUCUGGUCUGUAACUGACGCUGAGGAGCGAAAGCGUGGGGAGCGAACAGGAUUAGAUACCCCUGUAGUCCCUGUCUCUUAUAC